rnacentral:rRNA from 1 species
UACGAAGGGGGCUAGCGUUGUUCGGAAUUACUGGGCGUAAAGCGCGUGUAGGCGGGUCUUUAAGUCAGAGGUGAAAUGCCAAGGCUCAACCUUGGAACUGCCUUUGAUACUGGAGAUCUUGAGUUCGGGAGAGGUGAGUGGAAUUGCGAGUGUAGAGGUGAAAUUCGUAGAUAUUCGCAAGAACACCAGUGGCGAAGGCGGCUCACUGGCCCGGAACUGACGCUGAGACGCGAAAGCGUGGGGAGCAAACAGG